rnacentral:rRNA from 1 species
AUGGGGAUCUUCAACCUGCACGACCUGGACGAUGGCGCCUCGGGCGACAAGGCCGUCGUCUGCAUCGUCAAGAAGGUCGUCCCGCCUGACAACCCUAACAAGCCCACCAGGGCCAGCAAGAAGGCUGCCAAGCACAAGGCCAACACCGCCGCCACCCCCGACGCCCACGAGGACCAGCCGCCGCAGCACCACCACCAGCAGCACUAUCCCCAAGGUAUCCAACGAGCGCGCCCCGACCCCACCCUCUCCCGAUCUGUAUGUUGGUCCAGAUCGCUACUUUCGAUUCCGUGGUUGGCCUGGCGACUGCAUUCUGGUGCAUCGUGGCGUAGCAGAGGUGUUGGAUUAGGGAUCUGGCACUCUGGAUCGGUUAAAUCUUUGUUAGUUAUUUAG